AAAGUUUCAAAGUUCGAUGACGUGAUAGACUGGUGAUGGGAAAAAGCAAAAGUUGUACAUCUUUCCUUUUUCCUUGUCUCCUUUUUCUUUUAGCUUUUUCUCAAAUUUCUUCUUCCGACUGAUGCGGCACGGAUUUGAAGUGGU
ensembl:ncRNA C28F5.6 ncRNA